rnacentral:rRNA from 1 species
GCGGUAAUUCAAGCUCCAAUAGCGUAUAUGUAAAUUGUUGCGGUUGAAAAGCUCGUAGUUGGACUUCUGGCGACCGCGUUCGGUCCGCCAAGCGCGUGCACUGUCCGCGGUCGUCGUUUCUGUCGACGUGGCGCGUCGGCCUUAGUUGGUCGGUGCGUCGUCUGUCGGCGAUGUUACUUUGAGGAAAUCAGAGUGCUCAAGGCAAGCGUUCGCUCGUGACUUCACUAGCAUGGAAUAACACAGAUGGGCUCUUUCUCGCACUGUUGGUCUGCGUCAAUUGAGCAACGAUCGAUAGAGACGGUCGGGGGCAUUCGUAUUGCGCAGUUAGAGGUGAAAUUCUCCGAUCUGCGCAAGACGUACUAAUGCGAAAGCAGUUGCCAAGGACGUCCUCUUAUGAUCAAGAGCGAAAGUCGGGGGAUCAAAGAUGAUUAGAUACCGUCGUAGUCCCGACCAUAAAUGAUGCCGACUGAGCUUCGGCGACUCGACCUCAGGUCGUACGUCGGCGCUCUUAGAGAAAUUAAAGUCUUUGGGCUCCGGGGGUAGUAUGGUCGCAAGUCUGAAACUUGAAGGAAUUGACGGAAGGGCACCACAAGGCGUGGAUGUUGCGGCUUAAUUUGACUCAACACGGGAAAGCUUACUAGGUUUGGACACCUUUGUGAUGGACAGAUUGAAGCUCUUACCCUACUGCGUGGAUGGUGGUGCAUGGUCGUUCUCAGCCCGUGGGUUGACCUGUCAGGUUUACUCCGGUAACGCGCGAGACCUCGGUCUGCUAAAUAGACGCGGCUGUUCCGGCACCCGCGCUCUUCUUAGAGAGAGACUCGACGAGAGUCGAGGGAAGUCGAGGCAAUAACAGAUCUGUGAUGCCCUUAGUUAUCCUAGGUCGCACGCGCCAUACAAUGUGGCGCACAACGAGUCUCCUUGGCCGACAGGAUCUGGGCAAUCUGGCAGAGCGCUACGUGACUGGGCUAGACUUUUGUAAUUUUUGGUCUUGAACGAGGAAUGCCUAGUAAUCGCAGGUCAGCAUCCUGCGAUGAUUCGGUCCCUGCCCUUUGUACACACCGCCCGUCGCUCCAUCCGUGGCAUGCGCCGGUGAAGAGGGGGAGGCAGCGUCGGCCGGGUAACACCGGAUCGUACGUGGAACCCCUCUGAACCUUCGCACGUAGAGGAAGGAGAAGUCGUAACAAGGUUUUCGUAGGUGAACCUGCGAAAGGAUCAUUAUCGGCAC